AUUCACUGAUCACAGUUUAGAAGUUCUUAUCCUAGCACUGGUUCUGUGGCCAUUUCCACUCAUGAGUCUCUGCUCAGAGACAGAGUCUUGCUCUGUUGCCCAGACUGGAGAACAGUGGUGAUUAUAGCUACUGCAACCUCAAACUCCUGGACUCAAGCAAUCCUCCCACUUCAGCCUCCCAAGUAGCUGGGACUACAGGCACACACCUGGCUAACUUUUUAUUUUGUGUAGAGACAGGAUCUCCCUUUGUUGCCUAGGCUGGUCUCAAACUCCUGGCUUUAAGCAAUCCUCCUGCCUUGGCCCCCCAAAUUGCUGGAAUUACAGGCAUGAGCCACCACACCCAGCCCUUGUUUUGUCUUGAUUCAUUAUGGUCACAGAGUGGUUUUAUCUGGUUGUUGGUAUUCUGAAUUUAUUUUUAUUUAACAGGAAAACACAAUGAUCCAGCUGUUAGUGCCAAUCCAGAUCCUGAAUGGCAGAGGCUGCUCUUCACUUUGUCUAUAAGUAGCGGGAGUGGAACUGACUUCUUUCACUACUGCAGUCCUGACUAUGCCCAUAUCAGAUCCCUUAUCAGAUUUGUGCUUUAUAUAAUAGCAAUCAGCUUGAUAGGUCUUUGUUCAGUGUUUGGACCAUAUAGUGGAGCUUUGGUAACACUAGAACUGGAGACUUGUGAUUAAAUCUCAUUACCAUUAAUGUUAAGUAUAGCCUUGUGUGGGAAUGUUACAGAGAAAAGGACUUAGAGACUUACCGAAUCGAAACUUUAUGUCUUGGGAACUCUAAGGAUAAAAGUAAUUUUAAAAAAAGAAAUGGAACAAUUUUUUCUAUCUUGGAUAAAAUAACAAUUGAAUAUUGUAUUGGUCAGGGUUCUCCAGAGAAAUAGAAUAUAUAUAAAGAGAUUAAUUGAAAGGAAUUCACUCACAUGAUUAUGGAGGCUGGCAAGUUUAAUAUAUGCUGAACCAAUGUCCUAGUUGGAGUCCAAAGGCCAGAAAGCUUCUGCAGAACCAAGGAGAUCCAAUUAUCCAGUUUGAAGGCCAUCAGGCAGGAAGAGCUAAUGUUCAGUUCCAAGGACAUCUAGCAGAACUCUUUCCUGGCUGGAGGAGGGUCAUCAUUUUGUCCUAUUCAGACUUCCAACUGAUUUGAUAAAGCCUACCCACAUUAUGGAGGGCAAUCUGCUUUACUCGGUCUUCAAAUUUAAAUGUUAAUUUCUUUCCAAAACAUCCUCACAGAAACACCUAGUGGCCAAAUACUUGGGCAUCCAUUGUCUAGUCAAGUUGACACAUAAAAGUAAUCAUUAAAGAUAUUGGGCUUUUUUUUUUUUUUUUUUUUUUUUUUUUUCAGAAUUGAGUUGAGCUUGACUCAACAGUCAUCUCCUAGGAUAAAUUGUACCUGUAUUGAUAAUUGUUCUAAGGUGCUCCAAUAAUAUGGGGAUCUGUUGGGGCUGGGGGAUGAUGGUCUGAUCUCAGUCUGGUUGGCUACUGGUACAGCAGAAGAAUAACAUGUUGAAUUUCCAAUAAAAAGAAGCAGCAAGCCCAAUUCAAUAAAAACUUCAAAGAAUAUCUAAUAAAUAGCCUUUGCGAAACCAAGAAAAGAAAGUAGAGGGCAGUAAAAGUAAGGCAUAUGACAGAACUAGAUUUGUUGGUUUAUUUGCUCUUUCAACACGGAUUUUUAAAUAUGGAAACACAGACAAGUCAUGCUUGCUUUUUUAAACCAACAAAUUAAAAUUGCGAACAUGGCUAAUUUCAAAUCAGAUUAAAUAAAAAAUUUCUGCAUGGAAAGCA